rnacentral:lncRNA from 1 species
AGGACUGGAGGAAAUGACCUCAAGUUGUCAGUUUGAAAUUAGGAGAAAUUUAUUCUCAGAAAUAGCAGUUAGGUAUUGGAACAGAUUGCCCAUGGAAGUGCUGGAGUCACUGUCCCAGAAGGUGUUUAAGGAGAGGUUGAAUCUGGUGCUUAGGGACACAGUUUAGUGGGUGAUAGUGGUGUUAGGGGGAUAAUUCCACCAGAUGAUCUUGAAGGUCUUUUCCGACCUUAAUGAUUCUAUGAUUUUAUGAUUCUCUAUGUCUUACGAAUUUAAGAAGAUAUCCAUAUUUGAAUACAUUUUCUCUGAGCCCAAAUAAGGAUCAAAGUAUGCCAGAUGUAUCUAAGUCCCUAGAGUGUUUGUGAUGCUUUCUACUUCACCACUGAGACUGAGAAAAGAGAAACUGAGAAACUUUCCAUGAGAAAUAUAACCUGUAUUUUAAGCCAUUAAUCUUACUCCUACAUUUUAUUGUAGGGAACUGAAACAAAUGUAAGUCUUUGAUUAUUUUUAAGUAUAUUUUCCUCACUCUGUCCUUACCUAAACUUCAUUUACAGAAAGCUGUAUCCAAGGAUGAUUAUAUGGAUUUAAUCCAAUGAAAUUAACAAGGACUGUUCUACUAACAAGGACUGUUCUACUCUGCUAAUAAUGUUUUGUGUUGGCUGGCAGUAUUGGUUUGCUUGUUUUAACUCAGCUUUCAUUCAGAGCAAAAAUUAGGUAUUCUGUGCUUGUCUUUCUCACAUUUGUGCUCUGAGUCUUGUGUUAUCAUAAAGCUAUUAUACUACCUGUGUUGAGUAGGAAAAAUCAGAAUAAUUCACAGAUUUUUUUAAAUAGUGUUUUUUAGCAUUAAAAAAAAAAAAAAAAGACAUAAAAGAUAUAUUUAGUUAUGUUACAGGGUUUCCUCUCAUGGUGAAAGUUUAUAUCUUAGGAUAGAUAAAAUAAGGAGUAGUAGCCUAUGAUACCUGGAAAAAAAAAAAAAAAAAAAAAAAAAGGCAUUGCUGAAGGAUUUAAUGUUUUUAACAAUGACACUAAAAUUGUGGGUGUAAAAGGUUCCAGAUAUAAUUUUAUCUGGAAAGUGGUUGUGAUGUCUAAUGUGAUAAUUCUUCAAAACAAGAUUAAGGAAAGAUGCUAUUUCUUCCUAACUCUGUAAGAGAGGGAUAGGAAAUGUAUACACAGGAUGACUGCAGCAAGUUGCAAAUGAUAUAUGAAACAAGAAACCCUGCUAAUAGCACAAAGGAAAAAUCUACAGUUUGUAUUGUGUAGUGGCUGUGGCACUAUGUAUUGUUUGUUGUAGCAUUGAACUUGAUCAGACUGAUCACAGAUUUACAGAAUUUAAAAAAAAAAAAAAAAAAAAGAAAAGAAAAAACAAAAACAAAAACAAAGUAAAACAUAUUCAGUGAGUUUUUCAUUUUCUUAUUUUGGCCUUCCUUUUUCAUAAAGCAAUUGUUAUCUUUUGGUGGAUCGUUAUAUCACUAUGUCGUGGUUCCGCUCGAGUGGGCAGCCGAGCUCCACCACAGCCGCUCUCUCACUCCCCCUCCUCAAAGAGGAAUGGGGAGAAAAUAUGUGAAAAGGGCUCAAGGAUUGAGAUAAGGACGAGAAAAUCAUGCAAUAAUUAUUGUAACGGGCAAAACAGACUCAUCAUAAGAAGAUAGAUAGUAAGAUUUAUUGCUCAUUACUAACAAGCUAGAGAAGUGAGAAACAAAGGAAAGAAACCAAAAGCACC